GAUGAAGAACGCAGCGAAAUGCGAUAAGUAGUGUGAAUUGCAGAAUUCAGUGAAUCAUCGAAUCUUUGAACGCACAUUGCGGCCAUAGGUAUUCCUUUGGCCAUGCCUGUUCGAGCGUCAUUUACAUCCUCAAGCCUAGCUUGGUGUUGGGCGUCUGUCCCGCCGUUUUCGCGCGCGGACUCGCCUCAAAGUCAUUGGCGGCGGUCGUGCCGGCCCCCUCGCGCAGCACAUUUGCGCUUCUCGGAGGCCCGGCGGAUCCGCGCUCCAGCAAGACCUUUCACGACUUGACCUCGGAUCAGGUAGGGAUACCCGCUGAACUUAAGCAUAUCAAUAAGCGGAGGA
rnacentral:misc_RNA from 1 species